CCAGGAUGUUGGCUUAGAAGCAGCCAUCAUUUAAAGAAAGCGUAAUAGCUCACUGGUCGAGUCGGCCUGCGCGGAAGAUGUAACGGGGCUAAACCAUGCACCGAAGCUGCGGCAGCGAACGUAUCACUUAAAGCGAUUCAGCGGGUUACGAUUGACGGAGCGAAGCGACGUCAAAGCGUAUACAAAGUCGAGUCGGUUUAAGGAUACGUUCGUUGGGUAGGGGAGCGUUCUGUAAGCC
rnacentral:rRNA from 1 species